GGUCUGGGGCUUGAAAGAUGGGUGGGGUGGGGGUUGGGGCUUAUGGGGAGGCACUGUAUGACCUGUGGUACACACACAACCGCAAACGUGACCGCAGCCGCGUUUGGCUUUAACCCUCUCUUGUCAGGGAGCUUUCUAAAACGGCAUGACAGCUGUGAAUGUACGAUAUGCAGCCUUUUUAGAAACAUCACCCCUGCCGUCGUCCAGCAGGCCGGGCCAGAGGCACAGACACGCAGGUUGUCGUUCUCACUCUCGCUCUUUUUCUUUACAGCUCUUCUUUUUGUGUUUUAACUUGCUUUGGCGAGCUGGCCGGCCGCCCUGCGAGCACGCUGGACGCGCAGGUCCCCCGGUGUCCCCUUUGUGCUUUACUUUGGAGACCGCGGAAGCUUGUUGCCUUAAUUUGUCACCAUUCAGACAUCACCCAUCAGCUUCAUCUUCCAGACGCAAGCAUCAAGUGCAGGUUUCCCUCCAGCUGGUUCGCUUUCGCAGUGCUGUUGUCAGCAGAGCAUCACGGUCGCUGGGACAUCCGUAAGCCGACCGCAGCCUGAGGCCGAAACUUGUCAAGAUGAUAGUAACCUUUUUAUUUUACUUCCAAGGAUUGGUGUUUCUAGGUUUUGUGGGGUGUUGCUAGACAUUAAUAUACAGUACCAGGAAAACACACUUACACACAUCGCUGAGGGUGUACUGUGUUGUUAGUCAUAUCACAUGGUGGUUGGAUAGCUUAGGCUUUUUCUUGUUUGUUUUCUGUUGAUCUGGUUUUCUCGUCAUGUACACUGAUUUAAUAAUGUAGUCUGGAGCAUUAGCUGGGAAUCUUUGCUUUGAUAUUCAUUCCUUUUACAUCACUACCAAUAAUAACUAGCUGUUACAUUGUGGUUGAAAAAAAUAUCCUAGAUAGGAUUUUGAACAGAUUUUGGGAGUCGGAAAGGCGAAACAAAUGUAUCUGCAACACACAAACCAGCAGGGUUGACAGAGUAUCCAGGUCUGAUUAAACAAAAGUUGAUAAAACGUGUUCUGCCUUUGGGACUGAACAGAAAAGAGGG